GACGAACGCUGGCGGCGCGCUUAACACAUGCAAGUCGAACGGAAAGGCCUGCUUUCCCUUGUGGAUUGCGGGUACUCGAGUGGCGAACGGGUGAGUAACACGUGAGUGAUCUGCCCCCAACUUGGGUAUAAGCCUGGGAAACUGGGUCUAAUUCCCGAUAGGACUGCAGGGUGGUGCCUGUGGUGGAAAACGAUUUUCUAGUGGUUGGGGAUGAGCUCGCGGCCUAUCAGCUUGUUGGUGGGGUAAUGGCCUACCAAGGCGGCGACGGGUAGCCGGCCUGAGAGGGUGGACGGCCACAUUGGGACUGAGAUACGGCCCAGACGCCUACGGGAGGCAGCAGUGGGGAAUAUUGCACAAUGGGCGGGAGCCUGAUGCAGCGACGCCGCGUGGGGGAUGACGGCCUUCGGGUUGUAAACUCCUUUCGACCGCGAGGAAGCCACCUGGUUGGAAGGGUGGUGACGGUAGUGGUAGAAGAAGCACCGGCUAACUACGUG
rnacentral:rRNA from 1 species